rnacentral:sRNA from 1 species
CCGGAACUCAGAGCAUCUGUGGUCACUUGCUGGCAACCACCAACCUCCUAGGGCAGGUGUGACAAGGAAAAUGAGCUUCUCACCAACAGGCUUCUGUGACUGAGAACUGAGUGUCUCUAAACUCCUAGUUCAGCAUUGUGGUAUGGUGCUUCAUACACCUAGAGCCCAAGUACACGCCCGUCCCAGCAGCCUCAACGUCACCUAUCAGGACCAAGCCUGCCUGCGAAGAAUGCCAGCUGCAACCACACUUUCCAGGAUGGUGGUAUACCUCAGGGAGUGGGCAGGCCAGGAGGAGUAGGCUGUCUAUUCCUGUUGCCAUGGAAAAACCAUUGUGAUCGUGGACCUUUCUAGUCCUCUAGUCCUCUACAACUUGGAUCUGAAUAAACAACUAGUGGCCCAGUCUUCAGCAUUCUGAUGUAGCAGCCUCAAACAGACUGAAAGGGAAGCCUUGAUCGUUGGAAGCACAGUAAUUGCAGUAAUUUCCAUCCUGUGGAACAUAACAAAAACAAGGAAGAAUUGGUUAAAAUGGAACAUUCCUCCCUGCACUUGAUACUUUGUGUAUUAAUCUAGCUUUGUUCUGUCUGCCUCUUUAAAACUCAAGAAUUUCA